UAACUCCGGUUGAUCCUGCCGGACCCCACUGCUAUUGGGAUGGGACUAAGACAUGCUAGUCGUGCGCUUCUAAGCCAUGUUGGAGGCGCGGCAUACAGCUCAGUAACACGUGGCUAACCUGCCCUUGGGACGGAAACAACCCCGGGAAACUGGGGCUAAUUUCAGAUAGGUGGAGACUCCUGGAAUG
rnacentral:rRNA from 1 species